UUGGGAGCUACAAAGGGGUUAAUCACACCAGUGCUUUGGCAACUGCUGAGCAGGGCUGGUGCAGCAUCUGCAUUGUCGGCUUCGUCCCCUGAAUCGGGGGCAAGAUCAUGGGAGGCGAUACAGACAGGGUCUCAUGGAACCAAAGGACUGCUGGGAGACUGGGGGAACUCACGGAAUCAAGUGGCCGUCGUGGCACUGCCCUGCAUCAUAGAAGCAAAUGUUCCC